rnacentral:lncRNA from 1 species
GACACAGAGUCGUUGCGAUCAAGACACCAUCCUUGUUAUCAUCUCGAUCACAACCAUCCUCUCUUAUUACAAAAACAGAACAAAUGAAGAAGCUAGAAGACGAGAUCAGCGUCAUGUCGUCUCUCCCUUAUAACCCACACGUCCUGACCUUCCUAGGCCACGCCGAGAAAAGGCUCAUGGUCGUCGAGUUCAUGCCAAACGGAUCAUUACACCAGCUACUCCACGUGUCCUCCGCUACUCCCUCUCCUCCCACGUGGCUCAAACGCAUCGAGAUCGCGCUCAAGAUCGCACGUGCGGUUCACUUCCUUCACGAGCAAGACAUCCUCCACCGUGACAUCAAAUCGGAUAACAUCUUAUUCGACUCCAACUGGGAGCCGAAGCUCGCUGACUUCGGACUCGCCGUGGACUUAGCCGAUAAGAAAGUGCCGACGCCGGCGGGAACCUUCGGGUACAUUGAUCCGUGUUACACGUCGCCGGAGAAUCUUAGCGCCAAGACCGACGUUUACAGCUACGGCGUCGUUUUGCUGGAGAUCGUUAGCUGUAGAAAAGCGAUCGAUGUCUCUCGAUCUCCGGCUUCGAUUGUAGACUGGGCGGUUCCGUUGAUCGAAGAGGGGGAGAUCGGAGAAAUCUGCGGCGGCGGCGGCGGAGGAAGAGGAUCGGGUGUUUUCAUGGAAGCGAAUCUUCGGUUGCUAAGGAUGGCGGCGCGUUGCGUGUCCUCCGACGUGGAGUCACGGCCGUCUUCCGGGGAGAUCGCGGCGGAGAUGGUGGCGUGUUUGACUGAACCUGUGAGGAGUUUGCCGUUAUGGGUGAGCUUCUUUCGCGGGGUUGUUAAGCUGAAACGCAGGAAAAAACGGUUGAGAGAGAGGAUGACGUGGCCGGGUCAAACUUGUCGCGUUAGGUGAGCUGUUAAAGACGAGGCGGGUCAAAUAUCGGGCCGGGUCUGGGCCUGAGAGGAUGAUUACAGAAACAACCAUCCAAACAGAAGAAGAUUUGAUGGUGAAGCACAGAAUAUUAUAACAAAGCAUAUUAUUUGGCCUUUUGCGUUUUAACCUGAAGAAGAUUAAACAUAUAUUACUCGCAUAUCAUAUGUUAUCUACUUAUCUGCAGUUUUGAAUUAACUUUCAUAAUUGAGUAAAAAUCAUUGUAAUAGAACAAGGCUUAAUCUUUUGAUUACAAGAACAGUUUAUUAAGUUCGAACUCUAUUUAAAGUUUGGUGUACCAAAACAUUUCUAGUAUAAUAUACAAACAUAUAGUUUCUAUGCUCAAGAGUCUCAACAAGGUGGUCCUGAUAAGUGAUUUAUCAGUGACGACAAAACUAACCUCCCAACUUGAGAAACUACAAUCGUCUAAAGCCUGAAGAUCUUCUCAGCUCCCGAACAAAUCUCAGAACUUCAACACCUGAAAAAUCACCCAUGCAAUAAUAGCAAUUUCCAAAGUCGACUACCAUACAGUAUUCACUUUGUCAAUGUUUACAGAGAGAGAGAGAGAUAAAACUCCCUAAUCCAUGUCUAUUAUAUAUGUUCUUUGUAGUUCCAUGUACACUACACAGAAGAUAAAGAGUAUAAGCACAAGAGAAGUUUCUCACACCAAGCUUUUGCAUAAUCUCAUCAGGACCGCCUUGCCAUCGCUCUAGGCGGUUCAGUUAUGCAUCAAAAGCCUGUCGCACGACAACAAUACAUUUUCUCGCAACUGAAAGUCAGUACAAAAACAACAGGCGACUUAAUUCAAAUACCAAGAAGCUAACCGCUCGACUAUCUGCUGAUAAAAAUAUGUAAUCUCUCUGGUGAAUGCCCUUAGAAAAUAAAUUUCUCUAUACUGCUACUACUUAAUAACCUCAAAACAGUUGAUUCUGUCAAAGACCAAAGAUUAAACAUGAAAUGCAGAAUCCCUUUCUACUGUUAUGUUCUGGAGCAUAAUUCUUGCUGUUCAUCAUGAAACAUAUGAUGAGAUAGGUCCCUGACUCUCAAUCUAUUUCUUAAUUUAAGAGGGGGAUCCACAGAGACAUCAUCCAUUGAGCAAAAUAAGCACUGAAUCAUGGAUUUGCUAAAGAAGAGGCUAUCUGCAUAUGUAUGCUUAUGUUUAUCUUGACCAUAUCUAUUGAUUAGGGAAAAGUACAAAAUGUAACACUGGAAGAUAGGGAUCGAAACACGGGGACAAUUUUCAGAGAAUAAACAAGACUCAUCAGCGCCACAAACACAUAAACACCACUUUUGUUCAAAACAAAAAUGUUAUUAUCCUAUCGAGGAAAGCCUAAAGAAAUAGCACAUUUAUUUGAGACCGUCAAGCAAGCUUGUUCAUGACAAUUAAACACGACAGACGUGUCAGGCAGCUGCAAGCACAUGUUUAGUACUAGUAAAACAAAGCUAAGAAGGCUGUUGUUUUGAACAUACUGACAUAAGAUUAGAUGGGUGUCUCAAGCCUAGCGAGGAAUCACAUAAGCUCACAUCCAUGUAACUCAAAACCCAUCCCAAGUUGCCAACAUAAUUUGAAACUAUGCAAAAGUAAACAAAAAAAUAACACUCUUUAUUUCAAUCUUCUAAAAUCUUGCAUAAAACUGAAAAACAAAUGACUAAGAAAUCAACUGGUAGAAAAUACUUCUUCAAACCAUAAUUAUGCAGCAAAACCUCAUUAUGUCAGUAACACACACACAAGACUUGAGUGAGAUGACUGACAUAUAUUCAGACAAACAAAUAAAAACCAGUACCUCACAAGUCUUCUACAUAAUUCUUCAGAUCAGCAGUGCACAAAUAGCAAUAUGGAGAUUCUUGUAACAUGGACUGACUAGACUCAAAACUGCUUAGAAACACAUGCUUCUCGUUCCUGCUAAAAAUACGAGGCAUCGAGACAUUGGUAUUUACACUAACAACACACACACACACACAAGCCUAUCAUGGAGUUUGAUUACGAGAAGCUUGUUUCCGCCACCGAUGGAUUCUCCCCCUCGCGUCUCAUCGGCAAAGGAAGCCACGGCUGCGUCUACGAAGGCCUACUUCACGAAGAACAUAACAAACGACACAGAGUCGUUGCGAUCAAGACACCAUCCUUGUUAUCAUCUCGAUCACAACCAUCCUCUCUUAUUACAAAAACAGAACAAAUGAAGAAGCUAGAAGACGAGAUCAGCGUCAUGUCGUCUCUCCCUUAUAACCCACACGUCCUGACCUUCCUAGGCCACGCCGAGAAAAGGCUCAUGGUCGUCGAGUUCAUGCCAAACGGAUCAUUACACCAGCUACUCCACGUGUCCUCCGCUACUCCC